rnacentral:misc_RNA from 1 species
GAAAUGCGAUACGUAAUGUGAAUUGCAAAUUCAGUGAAUCAUCGAGUCUUUGAACGCACAUUGCGCCCCCUGGUAUUCCGGGGGGCAUGCCUGUCCGAGCGUCAUUGCUGCCCUCAAGCACGGCUUGUGUGUUGGGCCCCGUCCUCCGAUCCCGGGGGACGGGCCCGAAAGGCAGCGGCGGCACCGCGUCCGGUCCUCGAGCGUAUGGGGCUUUGUCACCCGCUCGUGUAGGCCCGGCCGGCGGCCAGCCUCUUCAACCAAACUUCUUUAACCAGGUUGACCUCGGAUAAAAAUUUGGGUUGAUCGGCAAGCGCCGGCCGGGC